rnacentral:rRNA from 1 species
AACGAACGCUGGCGGCAUGCCUAACACGUGCAAGUCGAACGAGACCUUCGGGUCUAGUGGCGCACGGGUGCGUAACGCGUGGGAACCUGCCCUUAGGUUCGGAAUAACUCCCCGAAAGGGGUGCUAAUACAGGAUAAUGUCUUCGGACCAAAGAUUUAUCGCCUUUGGAUGGGCCCGCGUUGGAUUGGCUAGUUGGUAGGGUAAAAGCCUACCAAGGCGACGAUCCAUAGCUGGUCUGAGAGGAUGAUCAGCCACACUGGGACUGAGACACGGCCAGACUCCUACGGAAGGCAGCAGUGGGGAAUAUUGGACGAUGGGCGAAAGCCUGAUCCAGCAAUGCCGCGUGAGUGAUGAAGGCCUUAGGGUUGUAAAUCUCUUUUACCCGGGAUGAUAAUGACAGUACCGGGAGAAUAAGCUCCGGCUAACUCCGUG